rnacentral:rRNA from 1 species
ACAACCUGCCUAUUAGAGGGGAAUAACAGCGAGAAAUCGUUGCUAAUACCGCAUAUGCUGUGAGUAUCGCAUGAUACAAGCAGGAAAGGAGCAAUCCGCUAAUAGAUGGGCUUGCGUCUGAUUAGUUAGUUGGUGGGGUAACGGCCUACCAAGACGAUGAUCAGUAGCCGGACUGAGAGGUUGAACGGCCACAUUGGGACUGAGAUACGGCCCAG